AGUAGCGGUGAAAUGCGUAGAUAUCUGGAGGAAUACCAAAGGCGAAGGCAGUCCCCUGGUCCGAUACUGACACUGAGGUACGAAAGCGUGGGGAGCUAACAGGAUUAGAUACCCUGGUAGUCCACGCCCUAAACGAUGUCGAUUAGCCAUUGGAAGGACCCCUUUUCCUUUCAGUGACGUAGCUAACGCGUUAAAUCGACCGCCUGGGAAGUACGACCGCAAGGUUAAAACUCAAAGGAAUUGACGGGGACCUGAACAAGCGGUGAAUGAUGUGGAUUAAUUCGAUGCUACGCGAAGAACCUUACCUACCUUUGACAUGGCCAAAGUUCUACCGAGAGGCGGAAGUACUCGUAAGAGGAUUGGCGCACAGGUGCUGCAUGGUUGUCGUCAGUUCGUGUCGUGAGAUGUUGGGUUCAGUCCCGCAACGAACGCAACCCUUAUCUUUAAUUGCUCCUAUUUUAACAGGCACUUUAAAGAAACUGCCAAUGAUGAGUUGGAGGAAGGUGGGGAUCACGUCAAGUCCGCAUGGCCUUUAUAGGUAGGGCUUCACACGUCAUACAAUGGUUAGAACAAAGAGCUGCAAAUUCGUAAGAAGGAGCCAAUCUCACAAACCUAACCUCAGUUCGAAUUGCGGUCUGCAACUCGAGCGCAUGAAGCCGGAAUCGCUAGUAAUCGUGGAUCAGAAUGCCA
rnacentral:rRNA from 1 species